rnacentral:lncRNA from 1 species
UUAUCCACUCGCUUUCCCACAGGCAAAGCAGUAACUUCUCCACGGCCGGCGAACGCCGCGACGUUGAUCUGCUUGCAUGUCGGAGCAGGAGGGUCCGGGACAUCCCCGCAAGCUGGCUCAUCCAGCCGGUUGUCUUAGUCGGCGAGCGCUCCGUGGUCGCCCCGGCGCGGCGCUCGUCAGCGAACUGCGCACCAGCCCUGCGGCCACGGCGUCGCUCGCCCCGCGCGGCGCUCGUAGGCGAGCUUCGCGCCGUUCCUGAGGUCGCAGCCUCCGUCGCCCGGUGCGGCGCUCGUCGGUGAACUACGCGCCGUCCCUCCUCGGCGGUCACCUUCGUGGCCCUGUUCGCCGCGUCCACCGCGACCCAGCUACUGAGCUUCCAAGACUUGCCGUGCUAGAAGGUACGAUCGUCCAAUUACUCAACUAGAUGGUUGCUGCUCUUCUAAUUUCUCAACCAAAUGCUUCUUUUGUCCGUGUGAGGUGGGUGAGAUGCAAGCAACUAUGCUUUUGGUCUGACUUGAUUAAGCUACGCAUGUCAAUCAACCAAUACACUUACACCUUAAAUCUAUGCUUUUGGACAUCAAGUAUGCAUUGCUCUCACUUAAUUAAGUUGUGCAUUCGAUCGAUAUGCACAGACUCCCCAUAAAUCCAGCAAUAUAAUACAAGUUUUUAGGAUAGCCAAAAAAAAUAUGAGUCUCUGACAACGAUGGCAGAUUAAGUUGGCUUCUGUUGUUGGAAGAAGACUUGAUUUUGACCUGUCAUUGUACCAACGGAUGGCUGCAGUGAAGCAUUUGAUGUUGGGUGUCCUAUCAUCGUACCAAUGGACGACUGCAGCGAGGCAUUCGGAGCUGGGCGUCCUCUCAUCGUACCAACAGAUGGCGGCAGCGAGGCAUUUAGAGCUUGGUUCAUCGUACCAAUGGACGACUGCAGCGAGGCAUUCAGAGCUGGGAGUCCUCUCAUCGUACCAACGGAUGGUUGUAGCAAGGCAUUUGGAGCUGGGUGUCCUCUCAUGGUCCCAAGAGAUGGCAAUAGUGAGACAUCCAGAGCUGAUUUGCAUUGUUCUGAAUAGGUAUAAACGUGAUUUGUCGGAACCCCCAAAUGACCCUGUGAGUAGUAGUAGCAAACAUUAGUGUCCAUAAAUCUUUAAAAUGAUAAAACGGAAAUAUGAGUGUAGGUAGCUUGUACCAUUAAGCUAUUGUAAUGUUGCAAUUCAGCUGGCAAUCUUUGGUCUUGUCCAUACAUCGCCAUAGGAUUUAGGAUUGGGUUGUACUGUGGUAGAUAUGCAGGCAUUUGAUUCAUAAAAACCUUCGAAUGACCCUAUAAGAAAUGGUGAGAUAAAUCUAGUAUAACUUAAGUUUUUAUAUCAGAUCAAGUGUGAAUUUAUUUAUACCAUUGAGGUGCCAUGAGGUUGUAGUGCUACAGGAUUAUCUACUUUCCUUUUCCUCUUUGAUUUUGCUUUCUCUAAGCCACCAAUAGGUCUACUUUCUCCUUGAGUAGUCUUCUCCUUCAACUUGAUACCUUUUGGCUUAGCAAGCCCCUUAUUUUGUUUUGAACUUGUAGAUGAGUUAAUGUUUGGUUCUGUAAAUAUAUAUUUAAAUAAAAUUCAAGUUUGAUAACAUUAUAAAACUACACACCCAUAUCAGCGGGUCUACUUGACCCUCGAACAGUCUUCUUUUUAAACUUAUUACCUGUUGGAUUGGCAAAUCCCUCAUUUUGUUCUGAACUUGUAGACGAGUUAAUGUUUGGGUCUGCAACUGUAAAAGCAAUAUAUUUUAGUUUGAUAAGAUCAUAAAACUAAACUUACAGACCUUGUGCCAAGGGAGUUACAUAUAUCUGGAUGUCUGUUUGAUCCUCGAGUUGUCUUCUCCUUCACCUUCAUUCCUUUUGGCUUGGUAGGCCUCUCAUUCUGUUCUGAACUUGUAGUGGUCAUAUUGUUUGAGUCUGCAACUAUAAAAGUAAAAUUUAAGCUUGAUAAGAGCAUAAAACUGAAUGUACAUACCUUGUGAACAAACAGAGUUACCUGUAUCUGGAUCAGAUCUAUGUUUUAGACAUUUCUCCACAUCUUCUGCUAAUUUCUCUACAUAAUUAGCAGCCAUCAAGUAUGACUCUUCAGACUCUGCGGCUCGAGCAGCUAUUUGGAUAAACAUUCUGCACAACUCUUUAUAGCGUUUUGUCAGUAUUGCUUUGCGGUCUUCAUGCAGGUUGUAGUUGCUUGUUAUAUCCAAAACUUUUGCAUCAAUUGUCCAUCUUUUCAAGAUGUACUAUUGAGGGAUGUGCUUGAUAUUAUUAAUGUCAAGUACCUUCAAGGAAUGAGAGCAAAGAAUUCCAGCAAAUUCAAACUUCUUGCAACUACAAUUGACCUUUUCUUCUUUCGGAAAAAAAUUAACAACAUGAUCACGCUCUGUACCAUGGAAUUUUACUUUGUAAACCUUCUCCUCGGUGUCACUGUCAUCACAAAGGAAUGUGUCAUAGUUUAAGGUCCGAAGCACUUGUUCCUGAAACAUCUUGAAUAUUGGUGGUGUAUAUGUAGUUGAUGCUUGCCUCAACAUAUAGCUUUCUGCCUUCAGCUUGGGAGUACUUUGUGUUGCUUUGAAGUCACAUCUCACCUCUUCAAAUCUUUUAUCUGCAACUAGACGUUCGAAAUGCUCAAAAAAAGUAAGCAUGUCAUACUUAGAACUAAUGUAACGUUUUAGUUCGUUGUUCAUGCUUUCGCUCCUUUGGGUACUGCUCAUGUGUGCAGAGAAAGUAUUCCUGCCAUACACUAGGGCCCAAUGCUCCCUUUUUUCAAAUAACCUUUGGAGCCAUGCAUUGUCCCGGAGUUCAUACUUGUCAAGCAUUUCAAUCCAUGCACUUAUAAAUUCAUCUUCCUCCUCAAUAUCAUAGAUACAAUGCUGAAAAUCAGCAUUGAACUUCUUGUAAUCUGUAACAACUCCACCAAUUUGUUUGACAACAUUUUGAUUCAUAUGCCACACGCAAAGUCUAUGGUGAGAGUGAGGCAGGACUGAGCGGAUCGCCUUAGCCAUUGCUGCAUCUUCGCCAGUUAGAAUUGUAUGUGGAUGCUUUCCAGACAUUACUCUUAAAAAUGUUCUAAAAAGCCAAGCAAAACUUUCCGCUGUUUCAUCAUAGAGAAGUGCAGCACCAAACACAAUUGUUUUUUUGUGAUUAUUCACGCCAACAAUUAAACCAAACGGACGCCCAUCGUCUAGUUUCCUGUCUGUGGUGUCAAAGCAUAUGACAUCACCAAAUAAUGCAUAGUCUGAGACCAUUUUGGAGUCCGUCCAAAAUAUAUUAGUUAUCAAAUCAUCCUCAUCAACUUGAAUUGAAUAAAAAAACUUGACAUCUUCUGAAACCUUCUUCUCCAUAUAUUCUAACACUCCACCCGUGUCACCCACCUUUACUUUUAGUGUUCUCUUUGAGUACAAACAAUUUUUCAUGUCAGUACUUAUAAAGCCAAGGUUUUCAGGUCCACAUGCUUCUUUCGUCAUUAGAUCAAUAGUUGCUUUAUUUGAAAUGCCCACUGACUUUGCAACCUCGGCAUUGGCUAGUUGAGCUUCAGUUACUUUCCUGUGUGAUCUUAAGUAUUGCGACAUGUUUCCAGUAGCAAGACUAUGGUUAUGGGCUUCUUUAAAUUCGUAUACAUAAUAAAUCCUGUUAUUAAGACUUAUCUUCAUACGUGCAUCACAACCACAUCGUGUCUCAGGCCUACUAUAACUGAAUUUCUCCUCUCUUUUAUCUUCCGCACGAACUCCUAUUAGUUGAAGUAAUUUUCUUAGUCGCAUCUAAAAAUUCAAAUGACGAGAGCAAGUUAGAACUAAUCCAUACCUUGACGAGAACAUGUGAAUGUCCGUUGUUGUAUUGUACUGGAUUUUUUUACUUUAUGAUGAUUGCCUCUUCGGAUGCUAAAACCCAAGGAAUAAGCAUACUUGUUAUAGAAGGAAUAUGCUUCUUCUUCAGAUAAAAACUGCAUGCCAAUCUUUGGCACCCUUUUUUCAAUCUGCUCUGUUGCAUUGCUAGCUGUAGUUUCUUCGACCCCCUGUUUAAAUUAGUACUCACUUUAGCAAUUGGUUCAAAUACAAGGAAAAGGAGAAGAAAACAUAUAUGUGUUGUAAAUCAGCGAUAACCUCGCUAUGACUAUUUAUUUCGAUGUCACAGUACAAUGGAAAGGAGAGGAAUCUGUGUUGUUUUCCCAUUCUGAACAAGGUGGUUAAUAAUUUCAAUCUUCUGACUACGCAUUCGCAACUAAUCAGAGGUAUGUCUUUGCCCCUCGAACCAUUACAUUUCUCUUGUAUGUACAACAUCAGUGUCAGUUUUUCAUUUAUAUGUACCCAUCAGUAAUACAACUAUGUAUUGUGCGAUCUGUGCAAGACAUGUUAGCUGGAUAUUGGCGCACUAGGAAUAAGAAAUAUACGCAUCUGCUAUCUAGUUUCAUUUUGCUACGUGGUCCCACUGACAGCAAUCACAAGAACCUGAAAGUCAUAGAUCUGUUUCAUUGCAGGAUUGGGAGAAGACUGUUGGGUCAGAGAAAAAGGAAGAACGCAAUGGAAACAAGAUGGCUUACAUUUGGGGGAUCUGAUUCCUCAUUGGUUCCGGCAAGAAUUGGUGAAGAAGCCAUCAAGUUCCUCCAGCAAGUCCCUUUGUUGGAUCUGUGUUCAUAGGUAGAUUUGAUGAAGAAGCGUAUAGUUUGGUUUGUUUCGUACUCUAUGUGCGGGAAAAGUUCACCGCCAAUGCUUUUGGCGGGCAAGACAUAUUUAUUUCCCUCUAAAUCUCUGUUCUAUUGCGUUAAUUACGUUGCGUAGAGAAAGUCUGGAGCGGCCGGUUUUAUUUAAUUGCUGGGUUUUUAAGGAAAAAAGAAGGAAAUAGCGUGGGUCGUUAGAUGAGCGCCGCGUAGGAGGGAGCACCGAUGGGAGUAUUUUCGCGGAGCAGGCAAGCCCCGUCCGGGGGGCAGGGACGCAGUUCAGAUCUGUGCAUGUAGCAACGAACUGACGAC